rfam:Oryza sativa (indica cultivar-group) chromosome 10, whole genome shotgun sequence.
AAUAAGUACAGCCAUGAGCUUCCGUGUCCAAUUUUGAUCUUUCGUCUUAUUUGAAAUUUCUUUAUAAUUAGCAUUUUUGUUGUUAUAAGAUGAUAAAAUAUAAAUAGUACUUUAUUCGGGACUUAUGUUUUAAAUUUUUUUUUAAAAAAAAUUCAAAUAAGACGAAUGGUCAAAGUUGGACGCGAAAAACCAUGGCUGCAUUUAUU